rfam:TPA: Bos taurus chromosome 11, whole genome shotgun sequence.
UCCCUGGUGGCUCAGAGGUUAAAGCGUCUGCCUGGAAGGUGGAAGACCUGGGUUCGAUCCCUGGGUCGGGAA